CAGCAGAGCCGGCUGGCAGCUCCCGCGUGUCUGACAGCAUCAGUGCCGAGCAACGUCUGGAUAUGUCACCCACUGUGCCUGAGCUGGGCAUGUGCCAGCUGUCCCCUGGCCGAGCGGAGCAGCCCUCUGCCCUCAGGGAUGGAUCAGGCAGAGCGGUGCUACAGGUGGUGCUGGCAGCGCUGGACCCCACGGGCCCUGGCAAUGAGCAGGAGGUGCCUUCUAGUGCAGCAGUCUCUGGGGAGGUGGCAGGAUGGGACAGUCCCCAGGCAGGGCUUGCCUACCCAAAACAAACCGACUGGCCGACCAGUGUCCCCAUGGCUCCUGGCGCCACUCAGAUCUCGUCCCCUGUGCCAAGAGGGCACACAAUGCCUGUUACCCAUGGGAACAGGGAUGUAGAGCCAGCCACAGCCACGCUGUCCUCAGCUCUACAUGUACCUACAGAGAAGAGGACAGGCACCCUGGUGCUAUUAGGCAGCAGCACCACUCCUACAAAGUCUGUGGGAGAACACAGUGCUCUGCAGAGCACCACUGGGCAGCCCACGCUGGGCACAGCCAUCCCUUUGCAAGAGGGGACCGUGGCCAAUGAACGUAUGGAAGCCACCAGCAUGCUGACAGGAGAUGUCCCAGCACCCACUGGAGGUUUGUCACCACCAGUGACACAUGUUCCUGCAACUCCUUUGGUGCUGGGAACAGAAGCACCUUCCUCAGCCACCAGCACAGCGAAUGAUGACGAUGGGUCGGGGCACCCUCACAGUGCUGUCACUGCGGAGGGGACACCGGGGACAGCACAGGCCACGGUGCUGUCUGAUGUCCAACACAGCACGGGGACACCACCCCACUCCCUCACCUGGAUCCCAGCUGAGCUGCACACAGCCGCUGUGCGCCUGUCCCAGGAGGUAAUGCCAGGGCUGGCCGAGGCCACCUCUCCUCUUGUCACAGCAGCCAGUGUCACUGCGGGGCACACAGAGCCUGCGUCAACCAUGUCUGACCGUGUCACAUCUCC
ensembl:lncRNA